rnacentral:rRNA from 1 species
CAGCAGCCACGGUAAUACGUAAGUGGCAAGCGUUGUCCGGAAUUAUUGGGCGUAAAGGGCUCGCAGGCGGUUUCUUAAGUCUGAUGUGAAAGCCCCCGGCUCAACCGGGGAGGGUCAUUGGAAACUGGGAAACUUGAGUGCAGAAGAGGAGAGUGGAAUUCCACGUGUAGCGGUGAAAUGCGUAGAGAUGUGGAGGAACACCAGUGGCGAAGGCGACUCUCUGGUCUGUAACCGACGCUGAGGAGCGAAAGCGUGGGGAGCGAACAGGAUUAGAUACCCCCGUAGUCCCUGUCUCUUAUAC